UUUAUGGAGAGUUUGAUCCUGGCUCAGGAUGAACGCUGGCGGCGUGCCUAAUACAUGCAAGUCGAGCGAACGGACGAGAAGCUUGCUUCUCUGAUGUUAGCGGCGGACGGGUGAGUAACACGUGGAUAACCUACCUAUAAGACUGGGAUAACUUCGGGAAACCGGAGCUAAUACCGGAUAAUAUUUUGAACCGCAUGGUUCAAAAGUGAAAGACGGUCUUGCUGUCACUUAUAGAUGGA
rnacentral:rRNA from 1 species